rnacentral:rRNA from 1 species
UAGGGAAUCUUCCGCAAUGGACGCAAGUCUGACGGAGCAACGCCGCGUGAGUGAAGAAGGAUUUCGGUUCGUAAAACUCUGUUGUUAGAGAAGAACAGCGCAUAGAGUAACUGUUAUGCGUGUGACGGUAUCUAACCAGAAAGCAACGGCUAACUACGUGCCAGCAGCCGCGGUAAUACGUAGGUGGCAAGCGUUGUCCGGAUUUAUUGGGCGUAAAGCGAGCGCAGGCGGUCAAUUAAGUCUGAUGUGAAAGCCCCCGGCUCAACCGGGGAGGGUCAUUGGAAACUGGUUGACUUGAGUGCAGAAGAGGAGAGUGGAAUUCCAUGUGUAGCGGUGAAAUGCGUAGAUAUAUGGAGGAACACCAGUGGCGAAGGCGACUCUCUGGUCUGUAACUGACGCUGAGGCUCGAAAGCGUGGGUAGCAAACAGG